AUGAGUCGUGUGGCCAAGGACCUGAAAAUCUGGAGGAGCAGCCUGAUCGGGGACACGAGGAUUCAGUUACACAUCGCCUGUGAAGUCAUUCUGCGCCUGGAUGUGGCCCAAGAGAGCCAGCGGCUCUCGACGGCAGAGGCGGAGCUAAGGAAGGGCCUAAAGAUCAAGCUGCUAGGUCUUGUGGCGAUCGAACGCUGCAGAAAGAGGCAGGCCUCCCGGCUCACCUGGCUGCGUGCGGGAGACGCCCCUACCAAGUUUUUCAUGGCCAAGAUCAGCUCGAGAAGACGCAAGAACUUCAUCAACGCCCUGAAAGUGGGAGACAUCAUUGUGACUGCACAUGCAGAGAAGCAAGAGGCAAUCCACGAGCACUUCAACUGCACCCUAGGAUCCACUCAACAUCGAGCCACGUCAAUCAACUGGGAUGAGCUGCAUAUGCCCACGCUGCAAGCAAACGGUCUGGACAAUCCG
rnacentral:rRNA from 1 species